AGACCCUUUUGUGUCCUCAUGGGUGGCUUAGAGAAAACGGCCCGCCACUCCCUUUCCCAGGAUACACACGUAUGGCUGAAACGUCAACAUGGACUCCGACCAAAGUAAGUUGAAAUAAAUAAUCUCGUUCUUUCUCCCUAUUAUUUUUCGGGCCAACGAAGAGCGUGCAUCACAUUUGCCGUCCCCUCAGCCACAGACCGGGUUUCAAACCCGUGAGUUAGUUAUUUCUUACCAAUCAACCCAAUCCCACGGGAACCGAACCUUCACAGAACAUGCUCUGUGCCUGCAGUAUCGAAAAUUGAACAGAAACCC
rnacentral:sRNA from 2 species